rnacentral:rRNA from 1 species
GUGAGCCUACGGGGCGCAGCAGUAGGGAAUUUUCGUCAAUGGGCGCAAGCCUGAACGGGCAAUGCCGCGUGAACGAGGAAGGUCUUCGGAUCGUAAAGUUCUGUUGAAGGGGAAAAAGAGCGGAGAGAGGAAAUGGUCUCCGAUUGAUAUUACCCUUCGAGGAAGUCACGGCUAACUACGUGCCAGCAGCCGCGGUAAUACGGAGGAUGCGAGCGUUAUCCGGAUUUAUUGGGUUUAAAGGGUGCGCAGGCGGAAUGUCAAGUCAGCGGUAAAAUUUCGGGGCUCAACCCCGUCGUGCCGUUGAA